CUUUUGUCUUCCUCUUGCCCCCCUUCUGCCUUUUAUCUCCCCGAGGAGGAGGAGGAGGAGGGGGAUGGA
rnacentral:miRNA from 1 species